UCUCCACCCAGCAACCUGCUCUCUUUUCUAGUAACUUUUCUCACCCUCUGCCCCUCUCCAGCUGUCCUUGCCAAACGUCACUCCUCACCCUCUUGUUUCCAAAGAACCUCUUCUAACUUGAAUGCCUUUAAAAGAUAUAUUCAGGUGUACAUUUAUAUAGCGUCAUUUUAAGGCACCUGAGAUUAACUUUGUCUAGUGCAUUGAUUUUCCUGACUAUAUAUUAAAAAACAGGAUAAGGCUGAGCUGAGUUGAAAUGUAAAAUUAUUAAAAGCAAAACAGGAAGCGAACAUUUGCUCAGCCAGCCAUUUCCUAUUGACGACUCUCUGUGUGAUGUGGUCUAUGAAAGCUUCCCUGUUCACCCUUAAACAGAUUGAAAUGAUCCGUGGCAGGAAAGAGCAAACUGAAGGGCUGUGUGGAAGCCAUGUUCAGUGCUGAGUCCCCUGAGCUGCUGCAGAAAGGCCGGCUGUGAGGGCUCCGUGUCUCGUGUCUGUGUUGAAGGGAAGCCUUUGAAAGCUAUCUUUCUAACAGGAUGAAUGUGAAAAGCUACUUGGGGGAGGGGGCUGAGCAGCACAAAACUGCCACUUGAGCAUUGCUUCCUGUCCAUGUGGCUCUGGCUCUUUGCUGGCAGUUAUUCUUAGGCCUUCUUGGGCUUCAAAGGUUUCCUCUUUUCUAUUUUUGGUAGCAGAAUAUGGAUUUAGAUGCGCACAACCCCUCCGACGACUAAUCUGUGCCCUGAACAGAAUAGAACCUGUUUACCGCAGCUAUCAGUUCCCUUUCUUUUCAGCCCCUCCAAAUGAUUUUUAAUACUAAGGACCCAGAUUUAUGGGAAGGAAUCGUUGAGGUUUCAAACUGAUUUGUGGCUUCCUAAUUGCACAUUCCUUUCUCCCAGCAGGGGCAUCUCGGAGAUCUUCUCAAGUAAUGGGAACUGGCUUCUAUGAAGAGUGAACGAAUUCAGAUCAAUCAAAAUUGAUUUGGAGGCAGCAAGAAGGAAUGAAGCUGUGAGGUAUGCAACUAGAUGAUUUGAUACAAGCUGUGAAGUGGUUCCCCAUGACAAGGCUAGACUCCUGUAUGACCCUGUGGCCUCUUGGUGCUCUGAGGGGGAUGCCAGUGUGAGGAAUGUUUCUGAAGGUCAAGUUGUAAGGUGACUGCAUUGUCUCAGAACUGUAGAACUCUUUCUUUCUGGCAAAUCUCAGAUCUGUUGUAUGGAUUUGUAUUUAUGGAAGAAUUUGACUGUCCCAUUUUCAAGACCAGGUACCUGUUGACGGGGUUCCUUGUUCACUCCUGGCAGAGGUGCCUUUGUGGUGGUCUGAAAGAACUUACUGGAUUGAAGGAGGCUGAGUUAUCAGCAGUGCAUUUAGGUUUAUGCAUGAUGAUCUCACAGCCAAUGUCUGCUUUUUUAAGGCUGCCCAUCUUCCCUAUCAUCCUUCUGGACCUCUUCACCAUGAGCCCUCCUAGAACCCCACAAGGCUUUAGCAAUUAAAAAUGACUUGAAUCUAAAGGUCCUUCAGUGUGUAUUCACAGAGAUGCCUACCAGAAGGAGACGUAGGUCUCAAUCUAUUUGGGUUCCUGUUUUUUUUUUUUUUUUUUAACAAAAG